UUUUUUUUUUACAUGUGGUGCUGAGGUUUGAACCCAGUGCCUCACACAUGCUAGGCAAGCGCUCUACCGCUGAACUACAACCCCAGACCAAGGUCUUUGAUUAAUUUUGAGUUGAUUUUUAUACAGUGAGGGAUGGGGAUCAUUUUAAUAUUCUACAGAUGUAAUUCUAAUUUUCCCAGCAUCAUUUUCUGCAGAGGCUGUCUUUUCUCCAACAUGUGUUUUGGUUCUUUUGUGGGGAAUUAGAUAGUUGUAGAGGAUUCUUAUUUCAUUGGUUCAUGUGUUUAUUAUGCCAAUACCAUGCUCUUUUUGUUUUGUUAUAACACAUCUAUAGCAUAUUUUGAAAUUGGGUAUUGUGAUGCCUCUGAUCUUAUACUUUUUGUUCUGGAUUGCUUUGGCAACUUGGGAAUUUUAUGUUUCAUAUGAAUUUUGGGAUCUUUUUCAAGUUCUCUAAAUAAUAUCAUUGGUAUUUUGAUGGGGAUUGUAUUGAAUCUGUAGGUUGCUUUUGCUCGUAUGACCAUUUUAACAAUCCACGAAUAUGGAAGGUCUUUACAUCUUCUAGUGUCUUUAGUUUCUUUCUUCAGUGUUUUAUAAUUUUCAUCAUAGAGGUCUUUCACCUACUUAAGUUUAUUUCUG
rnacentral:lncRNA from 1 species